rnacentral:rRNA from 1 species
UAGCGGGGGAGCAACGUUGUUCGGAAUCACUGGGCGUAAAGGGCGUGUAGGCGGCUGGAUAAUGGGAUGUUAAUCCCCGGCUCAACCGGGACCUGCAUCUCAUACUGUCAGUCGAGCACUCAGAGGAGACUGGAAUUCCGGUGUAGCGGUGAAAUGCGUAGAUAUCGGGAGGACACCAGUGGCGAAGGCGAGUCGUCUGG